rnacentral:rRNA from 1 species
GACGAACGCUGGCGGCGUGCCUAAUACAUGCAAGUUGAGCGCUGAAGGCUGGUACUUGUACCUACUGGAUGAGCAGCGCACGGGUGAGUAACGCGUGGGGAAUCUGCCUUUGAGCGGGGGACAACAUUUGGAAACGAAUGCUAAUACCGCAUAAUAACUUUAAACACAAGUUUUAAGAUUGAAAGAUGCAAUUGCAUCACUCAAAGAUGAUCCCGCGUUGUAUUAGCUAGUUGGUGAGGUAAAGGCUCACCAAGGCGAUGAUACAUAGCCGACCUGAGAGGGUGAUCUGCCACAUUGGGACUGCGACACGGCCCAAACUCCUACGGGAGGCAGCAGUAGGGAAUCUUCGGCAAUAGACGAAAGUCUGACCGAGCAACGCCGCGUGAGUGAAGAAGGUUUUCGGAUCGUAAAACUCUGUUGGUAGAGAAGAACGUUGGUGAGAGUGGAAAGCGCAUCAAGUGACGGUAACUACCCAGAAAGGGACGGCUAACUACGUG